GAGUUUGAUCAUGGCUCAGAGUGAACGCUGGCGGUAGGCCUAACACAUGCAAGUCGAACGGCAGCACAGAGGAGCUUGCUCCUUGGGUGGCGAGUGGCGGACGGGUGAGGAAUACAUCGGAAUCUACUUUUUCGUGGGGGAUAACGUAGGGAAACUUACGCUAAUACCGCAUACGACCUACGGGUGAAAGCAGGGGACCUUCGGGCCUUGCGCGAUUGAAUGAGCCGAUGUCGGAUUAGCUAGUUGGCGGGGUAAAGGCCCACCAAGGCGACGAUCCGUAGCUGGUCUGAGAGGAUGAUCAGCCACACUGGAACUGAGACACGGUCCAGACUCCUACGGGAGGCAGCAGUGGGGAAUAUUGGACAAUGGGCGCAAGCCUGAUCCAGCCAUACCGCGUGGGUGAAGAAGGCCUUCGGGUUGUAAAGCCCUUUUGUUGGGAAAGAAAUCCAGCCGGCUAAUACCUGGUUGGGAUGACGGUACUCAAAGUUAUAAGCACCGGCUAAC
rnacentral:rRNA from 2 species